UACAGAGGUGGCAAGCGUUGUUCGGAAUUACUGGGCGUAAAGAGCUCGUAGGUGGUUUGUCGCGUUGUUCGUGAAAACUCACAGCUCAACUGUGGGCGUGCGGGCGAUACGGGCAGACUAGAGUACUGCAGGGGAGACUGGAAUUCCUGGUGUAGCGGUGGAAUGCGCAGAUAUCAGGAGGAACACCGGUGGCGAAGGCGGGUCUCUGGGCAGUAACUGACGCUGAGGAGCGAAAGCGUGGGGAGCGAACAGG
rnacentral:rRNA from 1 species